AUUGAACGCUGGCGGCAUGCUUUACACAUGCAAGUCGAACGGCAGCACAGGGAGCUUGCUCCCGGGUGGCGAGUGGCGCACGGGUGAGUAAUACAUCGGAACGUGUCCUGUUGUGGGGGGAUAACUGCUCGAAAGGGUGGCUAAUACCGCAUGAGACCUGAGGGUGAAAGCGGGGGAUCGCAAGACCUCGCGCAAUUGGAGCGGCCGAUGCCCGAUUAGCUAGUUGGUGAGGUAAAGGCUCACCAAGGCGACGAUCGGUAGCUGGUCUGAGAGGACGACCAGCCACACUGGGACUGAGACACGGCCCAGACUCCUACGGGAGGCAGCAGUGGGGAAUUUUGGACAAUGGGGGCAACCCUGAUCCAGCCAUGCCGCGUGCAGGAUGAAGGCCUUCGGGUUGUAAACUGCUUUUGUCAGGGACGAAAAGGACCGUGUUAAUACCAUGGUCUGCUGACGGUACCUGAAGAAUAAGCACCGGCUAACUACGUG
rnacentral:rRNA from 1 species